rnacentral:rRNA from 1 species
GACGGACGCUGGCGGCGUGCUUAACACAUGCAAGUCGAACGGUGAAGCGCCUUCCUUUUUGGUGGGUGUGGAUGAGUGGCGAACGGGUGAGUAACACGUGAGUAACCUGCCCCCUUCUUCUGGAUAACCGCAUGAAAGUGUGGCUAAUACGGGAUAUUCUGGGUCUGUCGCAUGAUGGGUCUGGGAAAGAUAUUGUUUCGGUGGGGGAUGGGCUCGCGGCCUAUCAGCUUGUUGGUGGGGUGAUGGCCUACCAAGGCGGUGACGGGUAGCCCGCCUGAGAGGGUGGACGGUCACACUGGGACUGAGACACGGCCCAGACUCCUACGGGAGGCAGCAGUGGGGAAUAUUGCACAAUGGGCGCAAGCCUGAUGCAGCGACGCCGCGUGAGGGAUGGAGGCCUUCGGGUUGUGAACCUCUUUCGCCAGUGAAGCAGGCCUGCCUCGUUUGUGGGUGGGUUGACGGUAGCUGGAUAAGAAGCGCCGGCUAACUACGUG